rnacentral:snoRNA from 1 species
AAGUUAGCUAUGAUUAUAAAAAUAAUUCUUCAUUUUGACUUGCUUAAUUUGAGUGUGACAAACCUCUUAUUACAUCCAUAGAAUCUGAGUUAC